rnacentral:rRNA from 1 species
GAAUUCGCCCUUAGAGUUUGAUCCUGGCUCAGGACGAACGCUGGCGGCGUGCCUAACACAUGCAAGUCGAGCGGGAAUCUAUCAAUUGAAGCUUCGGCAGAUUUUGAUAGAGGAUAGCGGCGGACGGGUGAGUAACGCGUGAGUAACCUGCCCUUAAGAGGGGGAUAACACACCGAAAGGUGUGCUAAUACCGCAUAAUAUAUGUUUACCGCAUGAUAGACAUAUCAAAGAUUUAUCGCUUAAGGAUGGACUCGCGUCUGAUUAGAUAGUUGGUGAGGUAACGGCUCACCAAGUCGACGAUCAGUAGCCGAACUGAGAGGUUGAUCGGCCACAUUGGGACUGAGACACGGCCCAGACUCCUACGGGAGGCAGCAGUGGGGAAUAUUGCGCAAUGGGGGAAACCCUGACGCAGCAACGCCGCGUGAAGGAUGAAGGCCUUCGGGUUGUAAACUUUUGUCUUAUGGGAAGAACAAGGACGGUACCAUAGGAGGAAGCCACGGCUAACUACGUGCCAGCAGCCGCGGUAAUACGUAGGUGGCAAGCGUUGUCCGGAUUUACCGGGUUUAAAGGGUGCGUAGGCGGGUUAUUAAGUCAGUGGUGAAAGCGUGUGGCUCAACCAUACCAAGCCAUUGAAACUGGUGAUCUUGAGUGUAAACGAGGUAGGCGGAAUGUGACGUGUAGCGGUGAAAUGCUUAGAUAUGUCACAGAACCCCGAUUGCGAAGGCAGCUUACCAGCAUACAACUGACGCUGAGGCACGAAAGCGUGGGUAUCAAACAGGAUUAGAUACCCUGGUAGUCCACGCAGUAAACGAUGAAUACUAGCUGUUGGCGAUAUAAUGUCAGCGGUACAGCGAAAGUGUUAAGUAUUCCACCUGGGGAGUACGCCGGCAACGGUGAAACUCAAAGGAAUUGACGGGGGCCCGCACAAGCGGAGGAACAUGUGGUUUAAUUCGAUGAUACGCGAGGAACCUUACCCGGGCUUGAAAGUUAGUGACUGACUUGGAAACAGGUCAUUCCUUCGGGACACGAAACUAGGUGCUGCAUGGUUGUCGUCAGCUCGUGCCGUGAGGUGUCGGCUUAAGUGCCAUAACGAGCGCAACCCUUGCUGUUAGUUGCCAUCAGGUUACGCUGGGAACUCUAACAGGACUGCUACUGUAAGGUAGAGGAAGGUGGGGAUGACGUCAAAUCAGCACGGCCCUUACGUCCGGGGCGACACACGUGUUACAAUGGUCGGUACAGAGGGUUGCUACCUGGCGACAGGAUGCUAAUCUCAUAAAACCGAUCUCAGUUCGGAUCGGAGUCUGCAACUCGACUCCGUGAAGCUGGAUUCGCUAGUAAUCGCGCAUCAGCCAUGGCGCGGUGAAUACGUUCCCGGGCCUUGUACACACCGCCCGUCA